UGGGGAAUAUUGCACAAUGGGCGCAAGCCUGAUGCAGCAACGCCGCGUGAGGGACGACGGCCUUCGGGUUGUAAACCUCUUUUAGUAGGGAAGAAGCGAAAGUGACGGUACCUGCAGAAAAAGCACCGGCUAACUACGUGCCAGCAGCCGCGGUAAUACGUAGGGUGCAAGCGUUAUCCGGAAUUAUUGGGCGUAAAGAGCUCGUAGGCGGUUUGUCGCGUCUGCUGUGAAAACUGGAGGCUCAACCUCCAGCCUGCAGUGGAUACGGGCAUCACUAGAGUUCGGCAGGGGAGACUGGAAUUCCUGGUGUAGCGGUGAAAUGCGCAGAUAUCAGGAGGAACACCAGUGGCGAAGGCGGGUCUCUGGGCCGAUACUGACGCUGAGGAGCGAAAGCGUGGGGAGCGAA
rnacentral:rRNA from 1 species